GACGAACGCUGGCGGCGUGCCUAAUACAUGCAAGUCGAACGCAGUGGGGACGGGUGAGUAACACGUGGGUAACCUCCCAUCAGAGGGGAUAACACUUGGAAACAGGUGCUAAACCGAUACUGAUGGAUGGACCCGCGUUGCAUUAGCUAGUUGGUGAGGUAACGGCUCACCAAGGCCACGAUGCAUAGCCGACCCUAGAGGAUGUUAGGCCACACCGGGAUGUGGACACGGCCCAGACUCCUACGGGAGGGAGCAGGAGGGAAUCUUCGGCCAUGGACGAAAGUCUGACCGGGCAACGCCGCGUGAGUGAAGAAGGUUUUCGGAUCGUAAAACUCUGUUGUUAGAGAAGCGGUAUCUAACCAGAAAGCCACGGCUAACUACGUGCCAGCAGCCGCGGUAAUUC
rnacentral:rRNA from 1 species